UAUACACAGCAUCCGUGGAAAGUGGGCGAAAACAGUUAGAUAGACAAAAGAUGUUUUGUUUUCUCACACGAUGCCGUGUUUGUGCUUUCGGAGAGCAGAAGACGCAGCGAGGAAGGGGCUCUAUUGGAUUGAGAUCUGGUGACUGGAGUGCAGUGAACUCACUGUUGUGCUUGUGACCUCAGCAGAGAUGAUUUGAGCUGGAAGUGGCCAUCAGAAGAUGCUCUCACUGUUGAUGGAUUUCAUCAUUAGCAAAAGAAAGAGACACUCAGAGAAAGUUCAAUAGAAUCAAGGUCUGCGCUUCCCAUAUAUCGAGGUGAAUAUGCAGAGGUCAGGCAAGAUACCCUCUG